rnacentral:rRNA from 1 species
UGGGGAAUAUUGGGCAAUGGGCGAAAGCCUGACCCAGCCACGCCGCGUGAGUGAUGAAGGCCUUCGGGUCGUAAAGCUCUGUGGAGGGGGACGAACAAGUGCCUAUUUAAUAGAUAGGUGCCCUGACGGUACCCCUUUAGCAAGCACCGGCUAACUCUGUG